rnacentral:rRNA from 1 species
AUACGUAGGGGGCAAGCGUUAUCCGGAUUCAUUGGGCGUAAAGCGCGCGCAGGCGGCCUCGUAGGCCGGGAGUCAAAUCCGGGGGCUUAACCCCCGUCCGCUUCCGGAACCACGGGGCUUGAGUCUGGUAGGGGAGGGUGGAAUUCCCAGUGUAGCGGUGGAAUGCGCAGAUAUUGGGAAGAACACCGGUGGCGAAGGCGGCCCUCUGGGCCAUGACUGACGCUGAGGCGCGAAAGCUAGGGGAGCGAACAGGAUUAGAUACCCUGGUAGUCCUAGCCGUAAACGAUGGACGCUAGGUGUGGGGGGAUUCUCCCUCUGUGCCGCAGCUAACGCAUUAAGCGUCCCGCCUGGGGAGUACGGCCGCAAGGCUAAA